rnacentral:rRNA from 1 species
UACGUAGGGUGCAAGCGUUGUCCGGAAUUAUUGGGCGUAAAGAGCUCGUAGGCGGUUUGUCACGUCGGAUGUGAAACCCUGAGGCUCAACCUCAGGCCUGCAUUCGAUACGGGCAGACUAGAAUUCGGCAGGGGAGACUGGAAUUCCUGGUGUAGCGGUGAAAUGCGCAGAUAUCGGGAGGAACACCAGUAGCGAAGGCGGCUCGCUGGGCCACACCUGACGCUGAGACGCGAAAGCUAGGGGAGCGAACAGG